UUAUGGGGUUUUUCUAGUUAUUCUGGAGCUAAGUUAUGGGUUUUUCUAGUUCUUCUGGAGCUAAGUUAUGGGGUUUUCUAGUUAUUCUGGAGCUAAGUUAUGGGUUUUUCUAGUUCUUCUGGAGCUAAGUUAUGGGGUUUUUCUAGUUCUUCUGGAGCUAAGUUAUGGGGUUUUUCAAGUUCUUCUGGAGCUAAGUUAUGGGUUUUUCUAGUUAUUCUGGAGCUAAGUUAUGGGGUUUUUCUAGUUCUUCUGGAGCUAAGUUAUGGGUUUUUCUAGUUCUUCUGGAGCUAAGUUAUGGGGUUUUUCUAGUUAUUCUGGAGCUAAGUUAUGGGUUUUUCUAGUUCUUCUGGAGCUAAGUUAUGGGGUUUUUCUAGUUCUUCUGGAGCUAAGUUAUGGGGUUUUUCAAGUUCUUCUGGAGCUAAGUUAUGGGUUUUUCUAGUUAUUCUGGAGCUAAGUUAUGGGGUUUUUGUAGUUCUUCUGGAGCUAAGUUAUGGGGUUUUUCUAGUUAUUCUGGAGCUAAGUUAUGGGUUUUUUCUAGUUAUUCUGGAGCUACGUUAUGGGGUUUUUCUAGUUCUUCUGGAGCUAAGUUAUGGGUUUUUCUAGUUCUUCUGGAGCUAAGUUAUGGGGUUUUUCUAGUUCUUCUGGAGCUAAGUUAUGGGUUUUUCUAGUUCUUCUGGAGCUAAGUUAUGGGGUUUUUCUAGUUCUUCUGGAGCUAAGUUAUGGAGUUUUUCUAGUUCUUCUGGAGCUAAGUUAUGGGUUUUUCUAGUUCUUCUGGAGCUAAGUUAUGGGGUUUUUCUAGUUCUUCUGGAGCUAAGUUAUGGGUUUUUCUAGUUAUUCUGGAGCUAAGU